rnacentral:rRNA from 1 species
UACGAAGGGGGCGAGCGUUGUUCGGAAUUACUGGGCGUAAAGGGCGCGUAGGCGGCGACCCAAGUCAGAUGUGAAAGUCCUGGGCUUAACCUGGGGACUGCAUUUGAUACUGGGUUGCUUGAAUUCGGGAGAGGAUAGCGGAAUUCCCAGUGUAGAGGUGAAAUUCGUAGAUAUUGGGAAGAACACCGGUGGCGAAGGCGGCUAUCUGGACCGACAUUGACGCUGAUGCACGAAAGCUGGGGGAGCAAACAGG